rnacentral:misc_RNA from 1 species
AAAGGGGGAAGGAGAAAAUUUGGGAGAGAAGAAGACAUACCUGUUGUGCUGGGCGCGGAGGCGACGGAUGGAAGAUGCCGCCGGAACCCUACUGGCGGCGGAGGUCCGGCGAGGGCGUUGUUGUCGUAGGGGGGUGGUAGAAGGGUCGCCGGAAGACAGGAGUGGCGGCGCUGCGUUGGUGAAGUCGAGGAAGACCUCCUCCCCGACAUGCAGGGAGGAGGGGUGCUUGGAGCGAGGUCGUCGAGGAUGUCGCCGGAGCUCGACUCCGGCGAGUCGUGGAUGUCGAACGGAGUGCUGGAGCUUGGAGCGCCG